AUUGAACGCUGGCGGCAGGCCUAACACAUGCAAGUCGAGCGGGGUUUUCGGACCUAGCGGCGGACGGGUGAGUAAUGCGUAGGAAGCUACCCGAUAGAGGGGGAUACCAGUUGGAAACGACUGUUAAUACCGCAUAAUGUCUACGGACCAAAGUGUGGGACCUUCGGGCCACAUGCUAUCGGAUGUGCCUACGUGGGAUUAGCUAGUUGGUGAGGUAAUGGCUCACCAAGGCGACGAUCCCUAGCUGGUUUGAGAGGAUGAUCAGCCACACGGGAACUGAGACAAGGACCAGACUCCGACGGGAGGCAGCAGUGGGGAAUAUUGGACAAUGGGGGCAAGCAUGAGCCAGCCAUGCCGCGUGUGUGAAGAAGGCCUUCGGGUUGUAAAGCACUUUCAGUGAGGAGGAAACGUUGAGUGUUAAUAGUACUCAGCGUUGACGUUACUUACAGAAGAAGCACCGGCUAACUCUGUGCCAGCCGCCGCCGUAAGAC
rnacentral:rRNA from 1 species